AUGGAGAUACCGGGAGUAGAGGCGGCUAGGGUUGAAGAUCCAUCUUCGGGCAGCGGGCGGGGCCCGAGGAACACGAAGGCGAAGGGUGAUGAGGGCGUGGCGAAGACGAUCGAGGGGAGUGAGGCGGACGUUCAGAAGGAUGAUGAGGGGGCAUAUUGGGAGCAAUAUGGGGCAGACGAAGAUCUAGAUGGUGCGUUUGAGAACCUCCAGUUGCAAGGGGAGGAGGAAGAAGAUUUGGAUCUAUCUGGGGAGUUUGAGGAUAUGAUCAAGGAUGUUCGCUGGAUGGCGCUCUUUAGGGUUCAUACCCUACGGCCGUUUAGCCAUGCUUCUCUGCUUAAUUUCGUGAGGAACGCGUGGGCGUGUGCGCAGGGGGUGACCUUCAACAUUAAGGGCCCCAACUUGUUCUUGGCUCAAUGUCAUUGUUUGGGAGAUUGGAAGCGAGUGAUGGAAGGAGGGCCAUGGCAGUUCAGGAGGGAUCCGGUGGUUUUAGUAGAGUAUGAUGGAUUUUCAGAUGUAGAAGAAUAUGAGUUGAACAUGUAUCCAUUAUGGGCCAGGAUUAGAGGAUUGCCGGACGGUUCGACGAGGAAGAAGGAGUUGGCAGAAAAGGUUGCAAAGAAGGUAGGAGAACCUCCGUUUAUAGUUACGGUGAAUGAAGGAAGGAUCAACCUGUUGGAAAUAUGCCCUAGAGGCAAUAAUAAAUGGUUAUUAUUAUAUUUCUUUGUUCAUGAUAAUUGUCUAUUGUUCAUGCUAUAA
rnacentral:rRNA from 1 species